AGCUCACUGGAACCUUGAACUCCUGGGCUCAAAUAAUCCUCCCACCUCAGCCUUCCGAGUAGUUAGGUCUACAGGCACACGCUACCAUGUCCAGCUAGGUUUUUACUUUCUGUAGUGAAGGAAUCUCACUAUGCUGCCUAGGCUGGUCUCAAACUCCUGGGCUCAAGCUAUCCUCCUGCUUCGGCCCCGCAAAGUGCUGGGAUUAUAAGCAUGAGCCACCACGCUCAGCCAGUUGCAUCAAUUCUAUUAAAUGCAGAAGUUGAUACCUCCAAUGAAGACCAUGUUGGGCAUGACCGGCCUAGGAUAUUCAAGCACAAAGUCAUAUCUUAACAGCCAAACAGAGACCUUCUGAUAUAAGGUGAUUAUAUCCACAUCUCUCUUGAGGACAGCUGAUGCGAGUUCUUCAUACUUUGAAAACAGACAAUAAAAUAGAUAGGGCUCCAACAAAUUAACAAGGAAGUUGGCCACUCGUUGGGAAAAAGUCAUGUGGUCUGAAAACUUUGUGUAGCACCUGGGAAUGUAGGACACAGGGUCUGGGCUUCUGCUGAAUGUAUGCUCCAGGGAACACGGAAAACCCCUGAAGAGGUACACAGAUGGUAGGCCCAAAUACUCAGCCAGGAUCACCCCACAGGGUAAGGCUGGGUCUGUGAAAAGAGCAUCAAA
rnacentral:lncRNA from 10 species